CCUACGGGAGGCAGCAGUAAGGAAUAUUGGUCAAUGGACGAGAGCCUGAACCAGCCAAGUAGCGUGAAGGAUGACUGCCCUAUGGGUUGUAAACUUCGUUUAUAUGGGAGUAAAAUGUUCCACGUAUGGGAUGUUGUAUGUACCAUAUGAAUAAGGAACGGCUAACUCCGUGCCAGCAGCCGCGGUAAUACGAAGGAUAGGAGCGUUAUCCGGAUUGAUUGGGGUUAAAGGGAGCGUAGGUGGAUUGUUAAGUCAGUUGUGAAAGUUUGCGGCUCAACCGUAAAAUUGCAGUUGAAACUGGCAGUCUUGAGUACAGUAGAGGUGUGCGGAAUUCGUGGUGUAGCGGUGAAAUGCUUAGAUAUCACGAAGAACUCCGAUUGCGAAGGCAGCUCACUGGACUGCAACUGACACUGAGGCUCGAAAGUGUGGGUAUCAAACAGGAUUAGAUACCCGUGUAGUC
rnacentral:rRNA from 1 species